rnacentral:rRNA from 1 species
GAGUACUGUAGAGGGUAGAAGGGCAGGUGUACGGUGAAAUCGUAGAGAUCUGAAGGAAUACCGGUGGCGAAGCGGCCCCUGGACAGAUACUGACACUCAGAUGCGAAAGCGUGGGGAGCAAACAGGAUUAGAUACCCUGGUAGUCCACGCCGUAAACGAUGUCUACUUGGAGGUUGUGGCCUUGAGCCGUGGCUUUUGGAGUAACGCGU